rnacentral:rRNA from 1 species
CGUGCUUAACACAUGCAAGUCGAACGGUGAAAGCGGAGCUUGCUCCGCUGGAUCAGUGGCGAACGGGUGAGUAACACGUGGGCAACCUGCCCCUGACUUCGGGAUAACUCCUCGAAAGCGGUGCUAAUACCGGAUACGAAUCCUGCAGGCAUCUGCGGGAUUGGACAGUUUUUCGGUCAGGGAUGGGCCCGCGGCCUAGCAGCUUGUUGGUGAGGUAGUGGCUCACCAAGGCGACGACGGGUAGCCGGCCUGAGAGGAUGAUCAGCCACAUUGGGUCUGAGACACGGCCCAAACUCCUACGGGAGGCAGCAGUGGGGAACAUUGGAGAAGGGGCGCAAGCCUGAUCCAGCCAUGCCGCGUAAGUGAUGAAGGCCUCAGGGUUGUAAAGCUCUUUCGUCCGGGACGAUAAUGACGGUACCGGAAGAAGAAGCCCCGGCUAACUUCGUGCCAGCCGCCGCGGUAA